rnacentral:ncRNA from 2 species
ACCCUCUAACAGGGGUGCUUCGCGCGUGACAGCACGCGGCGAGGCUGAGAGAGACCCUUUGCACCCGAUCCGGGUAAUACCGGCGAGGGAAGUUUCCGGAGACCGCGC